UAGGGAAUCUUCCACAAUGGACGAAAGUCUGAUGGAGCAACGCCGCGUGAGUGAAGAAGGGUUUCGGCUCGUAAAACUCUGUUGUUAAAGAAGAACAUAUCUGAGAGUAACUGUUCAGGUAUUGACGGUAUUUAACCAGAAAGCCACGGCUAGCUACGUGCCAGCAGCCGCGGUAAUACGUAGGUG
rnacentral:rRNA from 1 species